AGCAUCUUCAACACCUAAGAGAAGAAUGCAAGAUGUUGAAUCUGACAGUGAUGACCCUAAAACCGGAACCUCAAGCUCCAACAGAGAACAGCAGCCCUUUGAUGAUCCUGGCAGUGUUGAACCUGCUACCACAGGACCCUCAACAUCAAAAAUAAGAAAGGAAACUGAGUCUGACAGUG